AACAUGUCUUCUUUCCACUGUAUACUGGAAUCAAAUAAAACAGUAUCUGUAAAUCAUCUAGGUGGGCAAUCAGACUUGCUCAAUUAAUGUUAAUUCCAUGUCAGUUGAAACAACAACAAUAAAGGAGACCAAACAUGAAGACUGGUAACCACCUGCUCCUGAGGUAUUGGUUUUAACCCAUUUUUUGUUUUGUUUUGUUUUGUUUUUUUUAGAACAGGAAGGAAAUAAACAAAUGGAUACCUAGUGGGGAGUAACAGUGCUUCACUGAUGCAUGAGCUCCACAAACCUUCUUUGGGAUGGGGAUGCAAAGGAGAAGAGGACUCUGCUACUGUGUGGAGGACUGCAUUGCCUGCCCAGCCUUCUGAUGCACCAGGGCACUUACUGGAGUUCACGCGCAUGAUUAUGAACUUACAAGGAGCAAGACAUUUUAAAACGGCAGAAUCCAGCUUCCCAGCCAAGGAAGGGACGUAUGGCAUCUCCCUGAGUGCCGGGACUGCACUGUCCGAGGCUUAAUUUUUUCUCAAUCCAAUUGUUUCUGUUACUUCCUGCCUCCAUUUCAGCUUCUCCUUGAAGCUCCCAGAAACUGUGGAAAUAGAGGUCCUGAAUGUAAGAUACUUCGAUCACUUCUCCUUCCUGUGAAUCUCUACACAGUGGACAAUACCCAGAGGUGUGAUUGUCUCCAUUUUAAGGAUAAACCUAGAGCUCAGAGAGGCUAACUUAUUGCUCAUGAUCACAUAGCAAGUGAGAGCAGAACUGGAGUAGAGCCCAUGGCUCUCCUCCUUCCAGCCUAAGCUUCAGCUCCAGGGCAGUAACCUCACUGGACAGCCAUUGUCUGUAUUUGCUGUUUCCUUCACUGGACCAUUAGUUCCCUAGGAGAAGGAAUCCUGGUCUUUAUCUUUGCAUUCCCAGGCUUGGCUCAGUGUCCAGAAACAUGGGAGAUACUCAGUGGAUGCUUUUUCAAAGGAUGAAGAGUGGAUAUGAAGCCAGAAGCUCUACCGAGUGUUUUUUUUAUUUGUUUUGUUUUGUUGUUGUUUUUUUUUUUACAUACAUAAUCCUUGAUUUUCUAAACACCCCGAGAGGCAGCUGUUGUCCUCAUUUCCUAGCUGGGACCAUUAAGGCUCAGAGAAGUUAAGUGACUUGCCUAGAUUCACAGAGCUCGCAGGUGGCUGAGAUGAAACUCAGACCCAUGUAGUCUGCCUGUAGAACCCACACUGCCUCUCGGCACAGAUGGGAUGAACAGUCUGGAUAGGCAGGACAGUGGGCAGAGGGACUGUGGGGCCUCCCUUCCUGCUGAGUUUGGAGUGGUCUCUGUCCAAGGGAAGCUGCAGUGGGUGACUGAGCUUCCUAAGCAGGAAGCAGUUCUCAGCCCCUCUGCCCUCCUUUCAGUCACAAACUUACAAGCACACAUUUGUUGAAUGACUGAAUGACCAGCCCUGCUGAUGACUCUGCAGUUUAUUUACCCCUAGAACUGGACUUUCGCCUGCUCAUUCUUCAUCAACUUUGGGGACUGUUCUUUUCUGCCUAACCUCAGAUUGUGGGAUUCCUUGAAAUGCUCCCUGAACUCUCUUCUCAUUGCUACACCUUUUCUGGAGGGCCACAUUUCUAGGGAUGGCUUCAAUUACCCUUUAUGUGCAGGUAGCUCUCCCACAUGUCCAGCUCAGACCUCCCUGCUGAAUUCCUACCUUCAUAGUUUUCUACCUGAAUAUCCAGGAGUUAGCUCAUCUCUAUACUUCAAAAGCAUUUACAUCAUUUCCUUCCCAUCUCAGACAGAAGGACUGGAGCCAUCAGUCGCCUGGCUGCCCAAGCCACAGACUCAGGCUCGUCCUUGACAGUACCCACCCCCAACACUUUCCCACAUCUAAUUUCUCCUUGAAUAAUCUCCAAGAUCUGGUGCCAGCCUUGUUUAUCCUCUGGAUUCCUCAGUAACUUCCCAGAUGAUUCCAUGAGCUCCAGUCUCCUCCUGUACAUCCACUCCAUCCAGUCUCCAUAGAGGAAUAGGAAAAAUCUUCUAAGUCACAUAUCAUUGUGACAUCCUAGAACCCUAGGAUUGAGUCUCCACUGCCACCUUCUUUCAUCUCAGCAUUCUGCCUCCUGCCAGCCACCAAGCAUUCACCACUACCGAAGGGAUCAUGAGGCCUCUGGACAUGCCAUUCCCUGGGCUGGGAUUCUCUUCCUUUACUUCUGCACCUGCCAAGCCGUCAUUAAGCCUUCAAGACCCAGCCUUGACUCUCUCCCUUCCUAGAAGUCAUUCCUGAUCUUAAAGGCUGAGCAAGGGCUUCCUCUUUGGGCAUCCCCCCACCACCCCUGCCUCCCUCUUUGAUAAUAGCCUCCAUGUCUGGGCUGUGGGGUCUGCCCAGGAUGGGGACAACGUGUGAUGUAUUGGUGGCCCCGGUGCUUAACACAGGGAGGAUCCAUGAAUGUCCAUCAAUCAAAUCUGAACCCUGGACCAUUGGAAGAAAAACAUAGCCUCUUCCCUUUGCCUCUUGGCUUUAACCAGCUGUGUUAUGAUCCUGUCACCUCCCACCCCUGUACCCAGUUGUCUCAUUUGCCUUGUUCUGACAUAGGAACCCCUGCCUUGGCACAUCCCUCCUGCCCCAGUUCAUGGUGAUCACCUCUUCCCUGAGGCCCUCCAGGACUAUACCAGCACCCAAGGUCCCCCAGGGUCCCAUUUCAAGGCCCUGGGAUAAUUCUCCAUGAACAGUUCUUCCCUCAGCCACACUGGGGGCCUCAAAUUCAUUUCUUAGGACAUAAGAAAUUUCACUGAAAGGUUAAAAAUAAAUAUUAGAUAUGAAAUUCCUUGGAGAGAAAG
rnacentral:lncRNA from 1 species